GCAAAUUAUGUUAGAGUUUAGAUUUAUUGUGGAUACAUUAUCGUGGACAUCGUAUAUUGGAUUUACGAGCCUAAGUAUCAUGUACAAAAUAUUGGACAAAUUGAUAUGGAAAAAUGUUCUCCCAACACAAUGUGCCUCUAAAGGUAAUUGGUAACAUAGAAUGUGUCUUAGGGGGUAAAAUUUUCAUGAUUUUGAUUAUUUUGUUUCUUAAGUGCAGAUGGCUGAGAUGUGUUUGGUGAUAUGUAGAGAAUGAGUCUGUGGUUCUGGGGGUAAAUGGAAGUUCGUUGUGGACAAAAAAGAUGCAUGGACGGGAGAUGUGUGGAUGAGAGAUGCGUGGACGGGAGACGCAUGGACAUGCGAUGCGUGGACGGGAGACGCGUGGAGCCACUUAUACCACCACUGUAACUACCCUCACGUCUUACACCACAGCCUCCACUGCGGUAUCCAUCGCUUCCUCCAGC
rnacentral:lncRNA from 1 species